AGAGGAAGUAAAAGUCGUAACAAGGUUUCCGUAGGUGAACCUGCGGAAGGAUCAUUAAUGAAUUAAUCGACAGGAUUGUCGCUGGCCUUUACUGGCAUGUGCACGUCUUGCUCAAUUCAUCCACUAUACCUCUGUGCACUCUUCAUAGGUUGGCUUAUAUAAAGAAUCGUUCGCAUGAAUGGUUUGGGCCUCUCUAUGCUUUAUACAAACAACUUCAGUUUUAGAAUGUUACUUGCGAAAUAACGCAUUAUAUACAACUUUCAGCAACGGAUCUCUUGGCUCUCGCAUCGAUGAAGAACGCAGCGAAAUGCGAUAAGUAAUGUGAAUUGCAGAAUUCAGUGAAUCAUCGAAUCUUUGAACGCACCUUGCGCUCUUUGGUAUUCCGAAGAGCAUGCCUGUUUGAGUGUCAUGUUUACCCUCAACCCCCUUGGAUUUUUUAUUCGAGUGCGGGUUGGAUGUGGAGGUUGCUGGAUUUUACUAUUCAGCUCCUCUUAAAUGUAUUAGUGUGAAUGUUACUGAACGUUCUCCAGUGUGAUAAUUAUCUGCGCUGUUGGACUUUGGUAUUUUAUAAGUUCACGCUUCUAACCGUCCGUAAGGACAAUACACUUUACGUUUGACCUCAAAUCAGGUAGGACUACCCGCUGAACUUAAGCAUAUCAAU
rnacentral:rRNA from 1 species